GCAUCCAUGGCUGAAUGGUAAAGCGCCCAACUCUUAAUUGGCGUAUGUGCGGGUUCGAGCCCUGCUGGAUGCA
rnacentral:tRNA from 4 species